rnacentral:rRNA from 1 species
UACGUAGGGAGCAAGCGUUGUUCGGAUUUACUGGGCGUAAAGGGCGCGUAGGCGGCCACCGCAAGUCGACUGUGAAAUCUCCGGGCUUAACCCGGAAAGGUCAGCCGAUACUGCGGGGCUAGAGUGCAGAAGGGGCAACUGGAAUUCUCGGUGUAGCGGUGAAAUGCGUAGAUAUCGAGAGGAACACCUGCGGCGAAGGCGGGUUGCUGGGCUGACACUGACGCUGAAGCGCGAAAGCUAGGGGAGCGAACGGG